UGCAAGUCGAACGAUGAUGCCCAGCUUGCUGGGUGGAUUAGUGGCGAACGGGUGAGUAACACGUGAGUAACCUGCCCCUGACUCUGGGAUAAGCGUUGGAAACGACGUCUAAUACUGGAUAUGAUCACUGGCCGCAUGGUCUGGUGGUGGAAAGAUUUUUUGGUUGGGGAUGGACUCGCGGCCUAUCAGCUUGUUGGUGAGGUAAUGGCUCACCAAGGCGACGACGGGUAGCCGGCCUGAGAGGGUGACCGGCCACACUGGGACUGAGACACGGCCCAGACUCCUACGGGAGGCAGCAGUGGGGAAUAUUGCACAAUGGGCGAAAGCCUGAUGCAGCAACGCCGCGUGAGGGAUGACGGCCUUCGGGUUGUAAACCUCUUUUAGUAGGGAAGAAGCGAAAGUGACGGUACCUGCAGAAAAAGCACCGGCUAACUACGUGCCAGCAGCCGCGGUAAUACGUAGGGUGCAAGCGUUGUCCGGAAUUAUUGGGCGUAAAGAGCUCGUAGGCGGUUUGUCGCGUCUGCUGUGAAAUCCCGAGGCUCAACCUCGGGCUUGCAGUGGGUACGGGCAGACUAGAGUGCGGUAGGGGAGAUUGGAAUUCCUGGUGUAGCGGUGGAAUGCGCAGAUAUCAGGAGGAACACCGAUGGCGAAGGCAGAUCUCUGGGCCGUAACUGACGCUGAGGAGCGAAAGCAUGGGGAGCGAACAGGAUUAGAUACCCUGGUAGUCCAUGCCGUAAACGUUGGGCGCUAGAUGUAGGGACCUUUCCACGGUUUCUGUGUCGUAGCUAACGCAUUAAGCGCCCCGCCUGGGGAGUACGGCCGCAAGGCUAAACUCAAAGGAAUUGACGGGGGCCCGCACAGCGGCGGAGCAUGCGGAUUAAUUCGAUGCAACGCGAAGAACCUUACCAAGGCUUGACAUACACGGAAACGGCAGAGAUGGUCGCCCCUUG
rnacentral:rRNA from 1 species